rnacentral:rRNA from 1 species
CCUACGGGAGGCAGCAGUGAGGAAUAUUGGUCAAUGGACGAGAGUCUGAACCAGCCAAGUAGCGUGAAGGAUGACUGCCCUCUGGGUUGUAAACUUCUUUUAUAUGGGAAUAAAAUGUUCCUCGCGUGGGAUUUUGUAUGUACCAUAUGCAUAAGGAUAGGCUAACUCCGUGCCAGCAGCCGCGGUAAUACGGAGGUUCCGAGCGUUAUCCGGAUUUAUUGGGUUUAAAGGGGGCGUAGGUGGAUUGUUAAGUCAGUUGUGAAAGUUUGCGGCUCAACCGUAAAAUUGCAGUUGAAACUGGCAGUCUGGAGUACAGUAGAGGUAGGCGGAAUUCGUGGUGUAGCGGUGAAAUGCUUAGAUAUCACGAAGAACUCCGAUUGCGAAGGCAGUUCACUGGACUGCAACUGACACUGAGGCUCGAAAGUGUGGGUAUCAAAGAGGAUUAGAUACCCCAGUAGUC